rnacentral:lncRNA from 1 species
UCUUCUUUUUACUUAAGACUUUUCCAUUUGUUUUCUUGCAAUUGCCCAGAUCAUUAAGAUCACAGCAAAUAAUGCCCCAGUCUGUCUACCUGAGGAAGUCUUCUUGGGUGAGUCUGCUAAGAUAGUCACUUGAAGCUGAAAGAGAUUAAGAUGGAGUGCCUAAUGGUAUGGGCAGAGUUUUGUCUGCAGAGCCCUCAACUCGUCAGUGCCUUUAACACCAAGGUGGCCACUAUCUCACAGUGGUCAAUGUGGCCUUGGUCCUUCCUUUGCAAGGAAAUGCAGCUUUGACACACAGGCUCAGG